CAUUCCUUCCCCGGCGGAUCAGACAGAUCAACGUUGUUGUCCAGGACGAUGAGUGCACGAUCUCGGUUGGUAGCAUCUCAAGCUCUCCAUCGCUGCCAACCAAGAUCGCGCACUCAUCGUCCUGGACAGCAACACUGAUUUGUCUGAUCCGCCAGGGAAGGAAUGCUUCUCGGUGCGCUUUAACAAUGAUGAUCAGUUCGACUUCACAGCCCCCGUGAAGAUGUGCCAGCCACUGGAACAUUCAUGUAUCUAUGGUUACUGCAACGGAUUGGUUCUCAACUUCAGCAAGAUAGCAGGUUGCUAUGCGAUUUGGAACCCAUUAAUUAGACGUUACAAGAAGUUGCCACGUUAGCCGAUAGAAUUGCCUCCAAGUUUAUCUCAAUCCAUGGAAUAUCGGGGCUGCUAUGUCGUUCUCUCCUUUAGGCACGACCUAGUUAAUGACGACUACGUGGUUAACCUUCAACAAGGUCUAAGAGCUACCCCAGGAUUGCCCACGAGAUGGUACGCUUUUGUUUACCAUUAUCUAGCCAUAUUUGUAUAGUUAUGCACGAAAUUCAUUUAUUUCAAUGUUUGUUUUUGCAGAAGAGAGAUACCGGGGCCACCCCUACUAGGACCAACACUUUUAUAAAAAAUGCACACUAAAAAAGGAUGGCAACCCCCAGUCAGUGCAGAGGCUGGGGAGUUAUUUGUAAGUGCUCUUCGUUAAACUUACGUUUCUGAUAUUGUAUGUUUGUUCUUUAAUGAGGCAACAAUGCCAUACAAUAUUUUAAUAUAUUGUAGGAAACGAUGCAAACCGCGAAGUUUACGCAAACAUCGAGCGAGGUGACUACGUAGGGAGCAAUAGCAUGGUCUAACGACGACCCAUAUGUUCAGGCCAUGGGAAGGCCUGAAUACCCUGGGUGUGUGCGCGGAGUAGGGUUUGGGGUUCUACCUGCGAGGUCGAGACCUCGUUCCUUGACACCAGCCACCCAGGAUCCCGCACUUUUGCAACAAGUUAGUGUCUUGACAACACGACUUGCGAUGCAAGUAGCGACACAUCAAACACAAUUAGCUGCACAAAACGAUCCUAUGGUGGCACAAGAAACACGAUUGGCUCAAAUGCAAACACUUCUCAAAAGUUUUAUGUCAAAUCUUGGAACUGGAAACCCAUUUUCACUCAAUGGCGCCCAAGGGGUACACAUCGUAGAUAUACAUUCCCCCGACAAUGUGAAGCAACGAUCGUCCGUUGGUAGUCGACCAGGUGAAGUUUUAUUAUGUUUUACGCCUCCAUCACCAAGAUUAUUAAACGACGUUCUUCCAAUUUCGAUACCACAUGUUAUAGAGUUAAAUGACGUUGCUUUGUGUAUGUUUCAUCUGGUGUUUCUAUAUGUUAUGUAGGUGAACACCGGGCAGCGUCCGAAGAUGAGCUUGAUGACCACGACAUAGCUGCGAAUGAGCGUACGUCCUGACAUGUUUGAAGCAAAGGCAAAUAUCAAUAUAGUGCAUGAUUGAUUUUGGAAUGGUAUGCUUAGAAGAAAAUUAUCUGUGAUAAAUUAGUAAUCAUACUUGAUUGCAUGGUGCAUGAUGGCUAUGUAAUAGAGUUUAUAUAAUCAAUUGUUUUUUUGGCUCAACUACAAGCUAACAUUUCUUGUGUGAUAUCCCAACCUUAGUUAGACUAACCUAAUAAUUAUAAAUAGAUGGCAUGGGUAUUAAUAUGAUUAAUUUACUUCAUUAAAACUAAAACAUGUUGGACUAAAACUUUGUAGACCAAAAUAAGCUGGUUUGCAUAAGCUGGUUUGGAUGAUGCACAAGAAAUGUCUAAACUAAACUAAGACUAUUUCUCAAGUAAGGCAGUUAAAACAAAAGUUUAAAGCAACAUAAAAUACAUUUUGAUGAAUUUUUUGUGUUCCUUAGUUGAAGUUUUUGGCAGUACAAUGUCAAAUAUGUUUUAAACAUUCAUUAAUGCCUUUACUUGUCUCAUUAUUGCAGCAUAGUGUGAAAGGAGAUGUGAUGUGGUGAACAUGGUGGCAUGCCCCCCCUUAAUUAUGAUUCAGCCAAUCACAAGGUGGCCCAUUUUCAUCUUAUUAUGUGGAGCUAGCUAUAUAUGUUCUGCUUGCUAGCCGACAGCAUGUGCCAUUUCUUCUGUUGCUACUCAUAGCACAUUUCUUACAUAAUGCUUAGACUUUGACUAUUUAGAAAUAUUGUUUACUACCUAGCUUAAGCUGUUGUUUUACUUGUUGUACAAUUAUUUUCUCAUGGAUAUUACAAUAUUUUUGUAUUUUGAAAUUUGGUAUUUAAUAUAACUAUUCAAUAAUAUUGUAAUUUUGUUCAAUAGGAUGUAUUUUAUGUUUGUCUAAUAAUUAUGUGUGAUGUAAUCACGUGUUGUCUAUCAGAUUUAGUUCAUUUGAUCACGUGAUGUGACCAUGUUGUGUUUUUUUCGUUUAUGUGUGAUGUAAUCACGUGUUGUCUAUCAGGUUUAGUUUAUUUGAUCACGUGAUGUGAUUAGGUUGUGUUUUUUUCAUUUUCUUUUAUAUAU
rnacentral:precursor_RNA from 1 species